rnacentral:rRNA from 1 species
AAAUUCCUUGUCGGGUAAGUUCCGACCCGCACGAAAGGUGUAACGAUUUGGGCACUGUCUCAACCAGAGACUCGGUGAAAUUAUAGUACCUGUGAAGAUGCAGGUUACCCGCGACAGGACGGAAAGACCCCGUGGAGCUUUACUGUAGCCUGAUAUUGAAUUUUGGUACAGUUUGUACAGGAUAGGCGGGAGCCUUUGAAACCGGAGCGCUAGCUUCGGUGGAGGCGCUGGUGGGAUACCGCCCUGACUGUAUUGAAAUUCUAACCUACGGGUCUUAUCGACCCGGGAGACAGUGUCAGGUGGGCAGUUUGACUGGGGCGGUCGCCUCCUAAAGUGUAACGGAGGCGCCCAAAGGUUCCCUCAGAAUGGUUGGAAAUCAUUCGUAGAGUGCAAAGGCAUAAGGGAGCUUGACUGCGAGACCUACAAGUCGAGCAGGGACGAAAGUCGGGCUUAGUGAUCCGGUGGUUCCGCAUGGAAGGGCCAUCGCUCAACGGAUAAAAGCUACCCCGGGGAUAACAGGCUUAUCUCCCCCAAGAGUCCACAUCGACGGGGAGGUUUGGCACCUCGAUGUCGGCUCAUCGCAUCCUGGGGCUGUAGUCGGUCCCAAGGGUUGGGCUGUUCGCCCAUUAAAGCGGUACGCGAGCUGGGUUCAGAACGUCGUGAGACAGUUCGGUCCCUAUCCGUCGUGGGCGUAGGAAAUUUGAGAGGAGCUGUCCUUAGUACGAGAGGACCGGGAUGGACGCACCGCUGGUGUACCAGUUGUUCUGCCAAGGGCAUAGCUGGGUAGCUAUGUGCGGAAGGGAUAAGUGCUGAAAGCAUCUAAGUAUGAAGCCCCCCUCAAGAUGAGAUUUCCCAUAGCGUAAGCUAGUAAGAUCCCUGAAAGAUGAUCAGGUUGAUAGGUUCGAGGUGGAAGCAUGGUGACAUGUGGAGCUGACGAAUACUAAUAGAUCGAGGACUUAACCAU